rnacentral:lncRNA from 1 species
CAAGCAUGAGGCCUUGAGUCUAGAUCGCUAGCACCCCAUAAAAGCCAUAACAGCACACACUCAUACACCUACCUGUGCACACACACACAUGCACACACACACAUGCACACACACACACACACAUGCACACACACAAAAUACAAAUAAAAUUGUGGCAGCUGAAAUUCAGAGAUUUAUCUUUGCUUAAGUUUUAAUUCUAUUUGUUCUACAACUAUCUGAUCAAAACUUGGGAUCCCAAAUGAAUGCAAGAGAAGCAGGCCAUAAUCCCACUGUUAAAGGGAGUACCUGAAAUGAAGCCUUUUGGCUUAUGGUCAUAUGUUCACCCAGUAACCUUCUAAGCAUGACAGAGUAGCUGUUACUAAGACAUGGAGAGGAGGAGAGCGUCGGAGAAGCUAAAAAACAUGACCGAUAUUUUACAGUCACUGCCCUGCUAUAAUAUGUCGGGCUGUCACAUCCUUUAAACUUCAUCCAUCAUGAUCUAUCUACCUAUUCCUUUAUUUAUUAAGCCAUCACAUACUACUACUGAGGGGGUCGAAAUGUCACAGACCUUGGGUAUGUGGGCAGUACGUUCCCAGGUAUUAAUCUACUGUCAUACAAAAAUGGCUAAGACUUUAAUACUCAGACUGGAAGCAAAAGCUUUAAAAGUGCACAUCUCAAAGUUUUAAAUCCAGCUCUUCCUCAGAGUAGUGACAGGGCCUUUAUCUGAUGCAUGUUAAUAUAGCAAGAAGCGAAGCUGUAUUUGAGGGAAGUCUUAAUUCUGAAAAACUGAGUUCUUAACACACUGUUACACUGUUACUUCCAGUAUUCUGUCCCCUCUCAUUGCCUGCAGGCUGCACAUUUACUUAUUAUGCUUAGUAUUUUGGUUCUUAGAUAUGGAAGAACCAAGUGACAAAAUGUCUCUUUACUGUCUCACCGAUAUCAAAAUAUCUCUCCUUUUUUUUUUAACCACAUGUGUUUCAAAGAAGUUCAAUUUAUCAUAGAACUAUGUUUUUAUAUUUUAAGAUGAUAAAUCACUUUGUUAUAACCAUAGUUUAAAUACAUGUCAGCACAUAGAAUCGUGAUUUACAGGAACUUUGGACGGGUUUUUUGCAGGGCUGAGUUUCAAUAAUAAAGUUAUUUUUAUGAUGUAGAUCACUCCCUGCCAUGUCUUAUUAUUUGAACCUUUACAGUCAUUCAUUUUAAAUUAUCCAGAUUCUACUUACCCACUUUAUUAUAUUUAUUUUCCUUCUUUUAGUUGGUGUCUCAUCAUAUGGUCUGGCCUGGCUCUCAGCCUCCCAGACACUGGGGUCAUAGGUGUGUGCCCAGACACUGGGGUCAUAGGUGUGUGCCCAGACACUGGGAUCAUAGGUGUGUGCCCAGACACUGGGGUCAUAGGUGUGUGCCCAGACACUGGGGUUAUAGGUAUGUGCCACCGCACCCAGCUGCCACUUGAUGUUUUGUGCAUGAAGAAAUGUGUGUUCGAAAAUAAUAUUCAAAUUUUGUAUUUAUAUUUAAAUAUAUUUAUGUCAUUCUCAUAGACUCCAGAUUUACUUUUCACAGUUAAGCAGAGAGCCCAGUGUCACCUCAGAGAUGAAGAAAUUCUAGGUGGUGUACAUUCAGGCAAAGUUAGUUCUAAAAUCAAGUAUCAUGCUUUGAACUCACUGAGCGAGUUGGCUAAUAACUCACAAGUGAGGUAAAUUGUCUGUUUGUCUUGUCACUUGUCUUUAAAUGAUCUGCCCCUUUGUAAACCGCUCUGGGUCUGAAGGAGAAUUUAAUAUUCCUGAAAACCUAGGGGGAAAAGAUGUAGUCCUUCAAAUGAUGUGUGGUUCACUUCUAUUAAAGAAGACCUAUAAAAAGUGCAGACUAGAGGAUGACUGUUUUUUUUUUUUGUUUUGUUUUGUUUUUUAAGAAAAGUGAGUUCACAUUAUUUUAAACAUGUAUUUAACUAUUUUACAACUAUCUUUUGACUUUUUUCAAAUGUCUGGUCACUUAACUAAAUUCCUAAUUAUUUAAACAUGGUGUUAAAAAAACAAACAAACCCCAUGGCGUUCCUAAAUAUAUUUUGUUAAAAUACAUUAUGGUCAGUCAAACCAACUGUGCAUGUAGAGACUCAGUUUUUUUCCUCCAAAAAAUAUGACUUUUAAAAUAAAGUUUAUUGAAAUAAA